rnacentral:rRNA from 1 species
UACGUAGGCAGCAAGCGUUGUUCGGAAUUAUUGGGCGUAAAGCGCGCGUAGGCGGUUGCCUAAGUCGGACGUGAAAGCCCUCGGCUUAACCGAGGAAGUGCAUCCGAAACUGAGCAGCUAGAGUACGAAAGAGGGUCGCGGAAUUCCCGGUGUAGAGGUGAAAUUCGUAGAUAUCGGGAGGAACACCGGCGGCGAAGGCGGCGACCUGGGUCGAGACUGACGCUGAGGCGCGAAAGCGUGGGGAGCAAACAGG